UUCAUGUAUUAUUAUGGACGUAUAUUGCCUUUUAUUCCAUCACAUAUUUAAUCAUGCAACCUGUUGAUUAAGUUAACUCUCUGUUCACUGUUUAAAACUUUAAGUUACCGACCGUCCUUAGAGUAAGUGGCAAAGGGCUUGAUGGUUGGUACCCGAGACCUAAGUUCGAAUCCUAGUUGAUUCACAUUUUCAGCUAAGUUUAUUUCUAAAUGAAACAAACGAAGCGGGUAGCGUGCUACUUAUCUCUCUCUCUAAAAAAAAAAGCAAAUUUCUAAGUAUCAGUAGCACAAAAAUU
rnacentral:lncRNA from 1 species